UAGGGAAUCUUCGGCAAUGGGGGCAACCCUGACCGAGCAACGCCGCGUGAGUGAAGAAGGUUUUCGGAUCGUAAAGCUCUGUUGUAAGUCAAGAACGAGUGUGAGAGUGGAAAGUUCACACUGUGACGGUAGCUUACCAGAAAGGGACGGCUAACUACGUGCCAGCAGCCGCGGUAAUACGUAGGUCCCGAGCGUUGUCCGGAUUUAUUGGGCGUAAAGCGAGCGCAGGCGGUUUGAUAAGUCUGAAGUUAAAGGCUGUGGCUCAACCAUAGUUCGCUUUGGAAACUGUCAAACUUGAGUACAGAAGGGGAGAGUGGAAUUCCAUGUGUAGCGGUGAAAUGCGUAGAUAUAUGGAGGAACACCGGUGGCGAAAGCGGCUCUCUGGUCUGUAACUGACGCUGAGGCUCGAAAGCGUGGGGAGCGAACAGGAUUAGAUACCCUGGUAGUCCACGCCGUAAACGAUGAGUGCUAGGUGUUGGAUCCUUUCCGGGAUUCAGUGCCGCAGCUAACGCAUUAAGCACUCCGCCUGGGGAGUACGACCGCAAGGUUG
rnacentral:rRNA from 1 species